CGCAAUACAGAAGAAAAAAUUGAAGUCAGUUGCCAAGAGUCCUACAGAAAAUAGAAGAGGACAAGCUAGUGGUUUACAGGAACUGUAUGGUGGACCAGGAGGAUCAGCUAUGGUUUUUCUACGUACAUGUUAUGAUGUAUCUAGCAUUUCUGCGAGAUGAAUGGUUUUUGGACAUUCCAUUUGGUUUUUUGCAACAGGAGUUUGCUGACAUUUGGAGUUAAAUUGAACAGUUUUAGU